rnacentral:lncRNA from 1 species
GAAAAUAAAGUAAUAAAAGAAACUCUAAAAACGCAAGAUGUGCAGCUCCAAGUGCGGCCACUGUAAACGGCAGUUCGCCUCAUCCGCACUUUCAAAUGCGCGGCUAGCCUCAUCCGCACUCUAAGUGCGGCUGCAUGCAAAAGUGCCGAAUCCAACCGCAGGUCCUACUACGACGACCUGCAGCUCUCCUAGUGCGAUUCUCAUCUCUCCCAACCGCACUUCCAUGUGCAGCUGGGCCUGAUCCGUAAUUCUAAGUGCGGUUAAAGCCCCGAUUUCUUCCCUCAUCACAUAUUAAAAACGAAACAAAGAGAUAAAAACGAAACAAGCACAGAUCAACGCGUAUCAAAUACAGAUUCUAUAAUAACAACAGAUCUACCAUUUUAUCAAACUCAAAGCAUCAUACACUCUGUUAUAUCAAUGAGCUUAAGGAAAUCUGAAAAAAAAACCCAACCUGGACGCCCAAAGCUUGAUGUUAACUCUCUGAGAAGAAUAAGAUCUAUACUGUUGCACUAAACAUUACACAACCACACAGCCACAAAAUCAGAUACUAAGGGAGGAAGUGAGGAGCACUCUGCGAGAAGAACUUAAAAACAAAUGAAGUUGGUGAUCAGGAAGAGGGGAGGAGUGCGGGACGAAAAAAAAUGUGAGUUUAAAAUGAAAUGCAGCAAGGAGGAGGAGGAAGGGAGGAAGAGGUGUAGGGUUUAAAAAAUAAUCUGAAAUGCGGUAAGGCUGAACUCAAUGAAGUAGGGGUGUAGGAGUCCUGCUUCACUUUAAUCAUUCAUUGGGUCAGCUUUUUUAAAGUAAAAGAUUCUUUCUAACAAGGGUAGAGUUGCAAAUAAAAAAAUAAAAAAAAGUGCAGAAUGAUACUGGUGAGACGCAGGUAAAAGCCGGAAAAUUUAGACAUAUUAAUGCUUGUGGAGACACAUGGGUUGAAAAAACAUUAAUGUUAAAAUAAAAGAAAGAUUUUCACAUAUAUUCAAUUAAACAUUCAGGAUUAGAGAUUCUAAGAAUAAUUUUAUAUUUUUAUUUAUUUUAACACUAAAUUACGAUCAACUUUUAGGUUAUUGACUUUUUAGUGGUCAAUCCUUUUUAAGUGUCUUUCUGGAUAAGAGAAAACUUUUGUAAUUUUUCAUGAAGUUUUCUAGUGAGUUUAUAAUAUUGUCCUUUCUUGAGAAUUGUUUCUUAUCUUAUUUUUGAGAUGUUUUACCCUCAGAAAAGAUUAAAAUAAUAUAACUAAAAGUGUUUUUUUAAUGUAUUCCGAUAAAUAGAAGUGAUUUGUGUACUCAAAUAAAAUCAAUACUGACCUAUGUAGUUAUUAUAAUUAUAAGUAAUUUAUGAAUUUAUUGUAAAAUCU